AGGGGUGCUCUUUGAUUUUAUAGAACCACUAAAAUAUAUUCCGAAUUUUAUAUGUGAAAUGUAAAAUGAAAAAUAAUUACUAAAAGAAAUUAAUAUUACUUUUGUAAAAAAUUUUUUAGUGCCCUGUAU
rnacentral:rRNA from 1 species